UGGGCGUUUAUCGGAUUAUUGGGCGUAAGAGCUCGUAGGCGGCUUGUCACGACGGAUUGUGAAAUCCCGGGGCUUAACCCCGGGUCUGCAUUCGAUACUGGCAAGCUAGAGUUCGGUAGGGGAGAUCGGAAUUCCUGGUGUAGCGGUGAAAUGCGCAGAUAUCUGGAGGAACACCGGUGGCGAAGGCGGAUCUCUGGGCCGAUACUGACGCUCAGGAGCGAAAGCGUGGGGAGCGAACAGGAUUAGAUACCCUGGUAGUCCACGCCUUAAACGGUGGGCACUAUGUGUGGGCAUUCUUCCACGUUGUCCGUGCCGCAACUCACGCAUUAUGUGCCCCGGCUGGGGAGUACGGCCGCAUGGCUAAUACUCAGAGGAAUUGACGGGGGCCCGCACAAGCGGAGGAUGAGGAGGCUUACUUCGACGCACCGCGAAGAAUCUUACCACGGCUUGAGAUACGCCGGAGAACCCUGGACACAGGGUCCCCCUUGUGGUCGGUGUACAGGUGGUGCAUGGCUGUCGUCCGCUCGUGUCGUGAGAUGUUGGGUUAAGUCCCGCAACGAGCGCAACCCUUGUCCCGUGUUGCCAGCAGGCCCUUGUGGUGCUGGGGACGCACGGGACACCGCCGGGGUCAGCUCGGAUGACGGUGGGGACUACUUCCAGUCAUCAUGCCCCUUAUGUCUUGGGCUGCACGCGUGCUACAAUGGGCUGUACAAUGAGCUGCGAUACCUCGACGUGGAGCGAAUCUCAUAAAGCCGGUCUCAGUUCGGAUUGCGGUCUGCUACUCGACCCCAUGAAGUCAGACUCGCUAGUAAUCGCAGAGCAGCAUUGCUGCCCUGAAUACGUUCCCGGGCCUUGUACACACCGGCCGUCACGUCACGAAAGUCGGUAACACCCGAAGCCGGUGGACCAACCCCUUGUGGGAAGGAGCUGUCAAAGGUGGGACUGGCGAUUGGGACGAACUCUUAACAAGGUACCUG
rnacentral:rRNA from 1 species